CGAAACGUUAUCCUAGGCGGGAUUACCCGCUGAAUUUAAGCAUAUCAAUAAGCGGG
rnacentral:rRNA from 1 species